rnacentral:rRNA from 1 species
UGAGCAAUCUGCCCUUCUCUUCGGAAUAAGCGUUGGAAACGACGUCUAAUGCCGAAUACGACCUCCUUUCGCAUGAUCGGAGGUGGAAAGCUCCGGCGGAGAAGGAUGAGCUCGCGGCCUAUCAGCUAGUUGGUGUGGGUAAUGGCCCACCAAGGCGACGACGGGUAGCCGGCCUGAGAGGGUNAUCGGCCACACUGGAACUGAGAUACGGUCCAGACCUCCGUACGGGAGCAG